UGGGGAAUAUUGCACAAUGGGCGCAAGCCUGAUGCAGCCAUGCCGCGUGUGUGAAGAAGGCCUUCGGGUUGUAAAGCACUUUCAGCGAGGAGGAAGGUGGUGGACUUAAUACGUUCAUCAAUUGACGUUACUCGCAGAAGAAGCACCGGCUAACUCCGUGCCAGCAGCCGCGGUAAUACGGAGGGUGCAAGCGUUAAUCGGAAUUACUGGGCGUAAAGCGCACGCAGGCGGUUUGUUAAGUCAGAUGUGAAAUCCCCGGGCUCAACCUGGGAACUGCAUUUGAAACUGGCAAGCUAGAGUCUCGUAGAGGGGGGCUAGAAUUCCAGGUGUAGCGGUGAAAUGCGUAGAGAUCUGGAGGAAUACCGGUGGCGAAGGCGGCCCCCUGGACGAAGACUGACGCUCAGGUGCGAAAGCGUGGGGCAGCAAACAGGAUUAGAUACCCUGGUAGUCCACGCUGUAAACGAUGUCGAUUUUGGAGGUUGUGCCCCUUGAGGCGUGGCUUCCGGAGCUAACGCGUUAAAUCGACCGCCUGGGGAGUACGGCC
rnacentral:rRNA from 1 species